rnacentral:tRNA from 1 species
AAGGAAAUGGAAGACGUUUGGUCAUGUCUUAUUUAGUUUUGAGAGGUCUUAUUUAAGUCAUGAGAACGUUAAGAAAUCUGUAUGAAAAUAGGAAAUUGACGCUGUGUGCUUGCACAGAAGGAAAUUUAUCUUUUUCACUAAGAUUUUAGUUCGAUACAAUUAAGCUUCACGUAAUAGAAUAGUACCACCACUAAUAAUGUAACAACCAGUUUAUUAGUCGGGGCCUUAGCUCAGCUGGGAGAGCGCCUGCUUUGCACGCAGGAGGUCAGCGGUUCGAUCCCGCUAGGCUCCAUAGGAUAUAAGUCCACCUAAACUUAAUAAUAAGUGAAGUUGAACACGCAACUCACUUCCUAGGACACUAGAUAAUCUUCCUUGUGUGUAAGCACACUGUGUCCAGAUUCUAAUUAUCUACAGAAGUAUCGCUAAAGCGGACGUUGCUUUGUAUCCUAAAGAUAGUCCCUUGGAACUUGGAUAACUAUUUCAAAUUCCACGAUCCUCCAAUGCAUGUAGCAAAGUAACCAGAAAUAAACCGGAAGAACGAUAACGCGAACAUAUUAAAAACAUAAGAAGGCGAAGACUGGCAUCA